CCUACGGGAGGCAGCAGUGGGGAAUCUUCCGCAAUGGGCGAAAGCCUGACGGAGCAACGCCGCGUGAUCGAAUGAAGGCCUUCGGGCUGUAAAGAUCUGUUGACAGGGACGAAUAAGCAAUGCGAAUCGUUUUGUGUAUGACGGUACCUGUUCAGAAAGCUCAGGCUAACUUCGUGCCAGCAGCCGCGGUAAUACGUAGGGAGCAAGCGUUUUCCGGAAUUACUGGGCGUAAAGGGCGCGUAGGUGGGCGCUUAAGUUAGAUGUGAAAACCUCGGGCUCAACCUGGAGACUGCACUUGAAACUGGGUGUCUUGAGGGCAGAAGAGGAAAGUGGAAUUCCUAGUGUAGCGGUGGAAUGCGUAGAUAUUAGGAAGAACACCAGUGGCGAAGGCGACUGUCUGGACUGUACCUGACGCUGAGGCGCGAAAGCAUGGGUAGCGAACGGGAUUAGAUACCCGUGUAGUC
rnacentral:rRNA from 1 species